rnacentral:lncRNA from 1 species
CUUACCGCCUCUUGUUUUCCGCGGCACUGCCCGCCACAGCAACCCGACCCGCGGCGCCCGAGAGCCCGCCCCCCACCGCAGCGCAUUGGCUGCCGCGCACGUUCAAACUGCCCGAAACUCCACCCCCUGGCGCAGAGACCGGACAGGAUUGGCUGUCUGCUGCCCUGACGUCAGUGGUCGAGCUACUCCCGGGCUAGGCCGAGCGCGAGGGGGUCGUUGGCGCUUAUACCCGUUGGAACCGGUUGGGGUGUAGUUUAUAGCCCUAGUGAGAAGCAGGUUAUUACUUUGUUUACUGAAGAUGCGGUGCCUUCAGUAGAACUUUCAUCAUGUUAACCUUCCUCAGUGCUAACAGGAGCUGGGACAUAUGGCAUCUCAGAGAAGAACAAGCUGCUGACUCCCACCUGUGCCUGGCCUGCCUCAGGAAGAGCCACAGUCCCACUGACUUCAGAGCCUUGGAGCUGUGAAUCCAGACUUUUUGGGAUGCUGUACUCUCUCUGCAUGUCACUUACAAGUCAUCCAUGCUGUGUUCUUGGCACCCCCAAGGGAUACAGAUUAUUGCUG